ensembl:lncRNA
GUUUUAACUGGUACGAUAGGAUCAAUUACACCUAGCGGUCUGAAUGAGCGUUUUUAACUGGUACGAUAGGAUCAAUUACACCUAGCGGUCUGAAGGAGUGUAUUAACUGGUAAGAUAGGUUCAAUUACACCUAGCGGUCUGAAUGAGUGUUUUUAACUGGUACGAUAGGAUCAAUUACACCCAGCGGUCUGAAUGAGAGUUUUUAACUGGUAAAAUAGGAUCAAUUACACCUAGCGGUCUGAAUGAGCGUUUUUAACUGGUACGAUAGGAUCAAUUACACCUAGCGGUCUAAAUGAGCGUUUUUAACUGGUACGAUAGGAACAAUUACACCUAGCGGUCUAAAUGAGCGUUUUUAACUGGUAAGAUAGGAUCAAUUACACCUAGCGGUCUGAAUGAGCGUUUUAACUGGUACGAUAGGAUCAAUUACACCUAGCGGUCUGAAUGAGCGUUUUAACUGGUACGAUAGCAUCAAUUACACCUAGCGGUGAGUGAAUUUAACAAUAGGAGAGGGGGAUAUAUAUAAUAUAGCCUACUAUAUUUAAUACGCCAUAAACUAUUGUUUUUUAAAAGUUUCACUAAUUAAUUUUAAUUAAUAACUUAAUAAUUAUGACACACCCCUCACUAUUGACAUUGGUUGCACUAAUAGCACUGUUUGUCUACAUAACCUGGUUCAAGUAUUCAUGACAUCACCCUGAAGAAGACACAGUGAUGCUGAAACGUUGGUAAAAACCCAAUCAAUUACUGGGAGUUUAAAUAUGGAGUUUAUAUAUGGAGUUUAUAUAUUUUAUAUGGAGUUUAUAUAUGGAGUUUAUAUAUGGAGUUUAUAUAUAGAGUUUAUACAUGGAGUUUAUAUAUGGAGUUUAUAUAUGGAGUUUAUAUAUGGAGUUUAUAUAUGGAGUUUAUAUAUGGAGUUUAUACAUGGAGUUUAUAUAUGGAGUUUAUAUAUGGAGUUUAUAUAUGGAGUUUAUAUAUUAUAUAUGGAGUUUAUACAUGGAGUUUAUACAUGGAGUUUAUACAUGGAGUUUAUAUAUGGAGUUUAUAUAUGGAGUUUAUAUAUAGAGUUUAUAUAUGGAGUGUGGGACUCUAUUUAAUUUGAUAGUUUAUAGUUUAUUCAUCGUUAGUCAGCACCUCCACACAACAUAUUUAUUCUUGGUGUGUAACAGCUUAAUGUUAUUUAUUGUCCCAGACCACAACAACAUAAUGUUUCUGGGUGUGUAACAGCUUAAUGUUAUUUAUUGUCCCAGACCACAACAACAUAAUGUUUCUGGGUGUGUAACAGCUUAAUGUUAUUUA